AUACAAAAUUCCUUACCGUUGAUAAAUAAAUAAAUAGUUUUUAUUGUCGUAGACCAAUAUAGGUAAUUCACAAAGUCAUAGUAAUACAAUAUUACAAAAUAAUAGAGUCAAAGCAAUAGUUAAAAGGCACAAAGUAGAAUAAAUUACAUCGACUAGAAUCGAAAAACCCUGUCAAACAAUAGAAAGGCCUUAAAACCAGCCACUCAAAAAGUAAUUUUUAAAAAAUAACAAUAUUUUUACAACAUUUGAUAUCCAAUGGCAACUUAUUGUACAUUCUCAAGCCUAUGCUGUCACAGUGUUUCAUGCUUAUGACAAGAAUAUCAUGCUUAUGACUGAAUGGUAUAUCAAUGAGGUCUUUUUUCCUGGUGUUAUAAGCAUGAAUAUUGGAUCUUUUAUUCAAGCUAUGGAGAUUCUUUCUAGUGUAUAUGAUUACUUGAAAUAUAUAGAGAUUUAUGAAAUAUUUAUUUUUUUUGAAAAGAGGUCGACAGUGAUCUAGAUACCCUGCACCUGUCAAUAUUCUAAUAGCCUUUUUCUGCAAAAGCAAGACCUUAUUGAUGUGGCAGCUGUUUCCAUAUACUAAAAUUCCGUAUGAAAUUAUGCUUUGGAAAAAAGCAAAAUAUGAGUUUCUGAGGUAUUUUUCCGGUACAAGAUUCUUCAACUGCCUUAACAGAUAGAGAUAACCCUAGAUAACCUAACAGAAACGGAAUUUAUGUGGGGUUCCCAGGUCAACCUGUGAUCAAACAUUAAGCCCAAAAACUUUAAACUAUUGUUAUUGUUGUGUGUAUAGUCCCUGAGACCAAAUGUCAUAAGCUGAGUUUUAUCCUCGUUUAGUUUGAAGCCAUUCGCUGUGAACCACUUGGAAGCUUCCGCCAAGGUAUCAGCUGUCAUAUUAUGUAAAGUGUGUGCAUCUGAAUGAGAAUUAAGAAAAGUGGUGUCAUCAGCAUACAACACAGUCUUGCUGUUGAUUGUGAGAGGAAGAUCAUUUAUCAUCAAUACAAAGAGGAGUGGUCCCAAUAUUGAUCCUUGGGGGACACCGUACUUUACUUUAGCAAGAUCGGAUCUCUUAUUUCCUACACAAACAACUUGCUGGCGAUCGCCAAGGUACGAUCUAAAAAGACUAAGGCUCCUUCCACUGACUCCAUAAUAAACUAAUUUUUCAAGCUAAAUAUCAUGAUUCACGCAGUCAAAUGCCUUGCUCAGGUCACAGAAGGCAGCCUGAGCAAACCACCUGUUUUCAAAAGACUCAAUUAAUUUUAUUAGUGCAUCAAAGGCGUCAGUAGUGGAUCUUCCCUUCACAAAACCAAAUUGAUGCUCAGACAGUUCUCAAGAUUUACUAAGUAUUCAUACACCUGUAUAUACAUGACAAUCUCUAGAACCUUGGAGAAGACAGGUACUAUUUGGAUGGGUCUAUGACUGGAAGGUUCCUCUUUUGAGCCCUUCUUAUGAACGGGAACAACUUUGGAGACUUUUAAUACAUCGGGGAAAACACCUGUUUAUACAAAUGGUCAGUACUGGCACUACAGAGUGAGCAAUAGUUUUGAGAAGACAGCUCGAUAGACCAUAGAAAUCUUCACUCUUCGAAACUUUAAGAUUAUGAACCACUUUAAAAAUCAUCUCUUGACUCACCUCGUGAAAAAAGAAUAAGCUAUUUUGCACUUUAUUGACAUUAUCAUUGAGCAAUGCACUGGCUGUAAUUGAUGGCUUGUCUACUAUCUUCUCGUGCACAUCAUCUACUGAGUGAAUGAAAUAAUUAUUAAGUUUGUUUGGUUCAGGAGUAGAUAAGUUUACAACAUUCUUGUUGAAGGAUAAAGUUUUGAUAAUUUGCCAUGCUUUCUUACAUUUGUUAUUAGAAGAUUCGAUGAUUGAUGCAACAGAAUCCCUCUUGGCUUCAUCCAAUGAAUUUCUGUACAGUGCUCUGCAUCUAAGAUAAAGUGUUUUCGAAUGUUCUGUUUUUUGUUUUUUGAAGUUUUCAUGUAAGAGAGUGAGUAGAAUUUUAAUCUUACUAAGUUCAGGUGUGUAGGCUACCAGUCAGCCUUACAUUUGAAAUUCUUUCUAUUAUUAACUUGGGAAACUUUUUUUUACAGGUCUUUCUAGGGAUAGUUAGAUUGAAAUAAUAUAAAACUGUAUUGAGGAAGGAUUCGAAUAUAUCACUUGCAUCUGACUUUUCCAUGACAGCACUCCAAUCCUACUAUGAUGGCGAACAUGUGGAGUUGAUCCUCCGUGCAGAAUCGUCCGAGGCUGGCCAAUCAGUGGAGUUGAUGUUGACGUGAAUGAGUCAUCAUCAAUGAUGAUUAUUGCAUUCACAUGGACGUUGGUUUCCAUCGGAAUGGAAUGAACUGGUUUUCUGGCAGUUUGCUUCUUUUAUCAGGCUAGCCUACUGAGGACAGUGGAUAAAAUUGAUAUAUGGUGUUUUGUUACCAUGAUAUGGAGGGUAAUGGUGGAUGAGUGUGGGAUGACACUAACAGGACAAUAAGAAUCGCGUUUGAGAGAAGUGAAAUGCAUUCUAAGCUAGUAUUUCAUCUUAGCCAAGUAUUCAAGUUUAUGAAACUACUGUCUGUAAGACAGGUAUUACGAUGUAAGCAAAUACAGUUGUAGCAAAUAAUAUUAUAUCUUUGAUAAAUAAAAUUAAUUUGAAUUUA